GGGGAUAUAGCUCAGUUGCUAGAGUGCUUGCCUCACAUUCGCAAGGCACUGGAUUCAAUCCCCAGUACCCUUA
rnacentral:tRNA from 1 species